UCGCGGCUUAUCACCGGCAGUCUCCUUAGAGUGCUCAACUAAAUGGUAGCAACUAAGGACGGGGGUUGCGCUCGUUGCGGGACUUAACCCAACAUCUCACGACACGAGCUGACGACAGCCAUGCACCACCUGUGCACUGGCCCCGAAGGGCUGCCGUAUUUCUACGGACAUUCCAGUGCAUGUCAAGCCUAGGUAAGGUUCUUCGCGUUGCAUCGAAUUAAUCCACAUCAUCCACCGCUUGUGCGGGUCCCCGUCAAUUCCUUUGAGUUUUAACCUUGCGGCCGUACUCCCCAGGCGGUCAACUUCACGCGUUAGCUACGGUACGGAAGACGUUGAUAAUCCCCCACACCUAGUUCCCACCGUUUACGGCGUGGACUAC
rnacentral:misc_RNA from 1 species